UAGCGUAUAUUAAAGUUGUUGCAGUUAAAAAGCUCGUAGUUGAAUUUCGGGAUCAAUACGUCGGUCGUGCUUUCGGUACGUACUGGCGUCAUUGGUUUUUUCCUUCUGACGAACCAUGAUGUCAUUAAUUUGGUGUUAUGGGGAGUUAGGACUGUUACUUUGAAAAAAUUAGAGUGUUUAAAGAAGGCCAA
rnacentral:rRNA from 1 species